UGAGGAAUAUUGGUCAAUGGGCGGAAGCCUGAACCAGCCAUCCCGCGUGAAGGAAGAAGGCCUUAUGGGUUGUAAACUUCUUUUCUGUUUGAAGAAUAAGCUUGUCGAGACAAGUGAUGCCGGUAGGACAGGAAUAAGCAUCGGCUAACUCCGUGCCAGCAGCCGCGGUAAUACGGAGGAUGCAAGCGUUAUCCGGAUUUAUUGGGUUUAAAGGGUGCGCAGGUGGUUUAGUAAGUCAGUGGUGAAAGUCUGCCGCUUAACGGUAGGAUUGCCAAUGAUACUGAUGGACUUGAAUAUGGAUGAGGUAGGAGGAAUGUGGAGUGUAGCGGUGAAAUGCUUAGAUAUUACACAGAACACCGAUUGCGAAGGCAGCUUACUAAUCCAUUAUUGGCGCUGAGGCACGAAAGCGUGGGGAUCAAACAG
rnacentral:rRNA from 1 species